rnacentral:lncRNA from 1 species
UGACAGUGUGUCAGAAGGAGAUCAUCUACUUCCAGCCCAUGGUUUGCUGCAGGGAACUGAAACCGUGGAUGAAGGCUACUGCACUUCAUUUCUUUCAUUAAUGAGUGACAUUUCAUUAAUGAACCAAAGGACAAGAAAGAUCAACAUAAAAGUGACUUUUUCCCAUCAUCCCUACACUUCUAGUAGGUUGAAGUUGUUUCUGAAAGGAAUGAAUGCUAGCUUAAAUUCAUUUGCCAUUGUCAUGCAUUAAGGUAUGUAAUGCAGUACAAACAAUAUGGUGAUCAUCUUAUAAGUUAGGAAAUAACAAAACCUGAAUGUUGUUAAUUGGAAGAGAGUUAGAGUAACAGAAAUC